AUUAUAUAUAAACAUUUAAAUAUAUAAGUAACUUUAAAAAUAUAUUCUAAUUAUGUAAAAAUAUAUAUAAACAUGAAAAUUAAUACCCGCACGGUUGUGUGGGUCCAAAUCUAGUAUUUAUUGUUAUAAUAGUAACUGAUAUAUGACUAAAUCAUAUGUCUCCAUUUAGGACGAUAGAGUAACUAAAUGUUCGUGACAAAUUCAUAUAAAAGAAGGCAAACAAAAAUAUUUCUAGACCCCAAAUGAAUUUUUAAACCCUAAACACUUAACACAAAUCUCAAAACUCUAAUAUUUUCAUAUUUUAACCUCACAUCUUAAAUUUAAAUAUAAAAUUUAGUAUUUUCAAAACUUUUUCUCAUAUUCUGAAAGUAAACCUCAAACACCCAAUCCGUAAGUCACAAAAAAUAAACCUUAACCUUUACAUAAAGUUUCAAAAUUACUAUAAUACACCUAAACUAAUAUCCAAUAUUUAUAAAAAAAAUUAUUUUUUCAAAUCUUAUUUAAAAACCUUAACUUCGUAUUUAAAUUUAAAGUCCAAAACCCUUUUCUUCAAACUCCAAAACCUAUAUCAUAAAUUUUAUCUCUAAAUUUGUUUUUUUUUUCAUUUUUAGAACUAUACAUAUGUGUACUUUAAAUGAAUUAACUUAUAAUUCUAAUCAAACUUAUAAUAAACAUUAAAAAAUUAAAGAAAGAUCAGAAACAAAAAAUUCUAUCGUAAGUUUCAAAAAAAAAACAAAAAUUCUAUCGUUGUAUAGAAGAGAUGUAAUCAACAGUUCUAUUGCUGUACAACCAAAAUAAAACUUGCCCCGUCAAAAAAAAAGAAAUUUUCCUAUUGGCUAAUUCAUAAGCACAAGAAUCAAGUUUUGACCGUCGGAUGAGACUAAAUCAACGGACCAAAGUUAUUAAUUUUUCAGAUCUGCAUAUCUUUUUUUUUUACCAAACAGAUCUGCAUAUCUCUGGACAGAUUCUCUUAUUUGAUUUCAUCUUCUAAUCUCUUAAUUCUUAAGAUUUCUUCACUGCUAGCCUCUUCAUUCUCUUAACGAUCUCUGCUCCCAUAUCUCUUCAGCUUCGCUACCGUCUCUGUCAAUGGUCGUUGUAAGAAGGGAAUCCUCCUUCUCCUUUUUAAGAUCUACAAAUUAAUUACUUUCUCAUUAUCUCCCUUUUGUGUAGCUUUGAUUUUGGUCCAUGUUAAAGAAUCGAAGGAGUGAAUGAGAACCAGAGGAGGAAGGAGUGAGAAGGAAGAAAUUGAGAAGGAUGAACCAGCAUGAGAGGUGGAGACAUGAAGGUUUUCCGGUGUACCGUCACAGCGUCCGUUGUCGCUCCGGCAUGACUGUUCAGAUUAUUUAAGAAGAAAGACGAGGAAGAAGAAGAGUAGGAGGAGACGUAAGAAGAGUGGUUUCUCCUGAUGUCUACUUGUUCACUGCAGCGAUUAACGCAUUUUGCAAGGGAGGGAUGGAAUGAGGAUGAGUGGGAGGUAUGAUGAGGCAUUUAUGUGUAAGGAGCUAUGGCUUUGGAGACAUAGCGUUGAGUUGCUGAGAAGAUGCAUGCUAAUCAAUUAGGUUUAGUUUUUUUUUAAAUUUGGUUUAGUUUUAUAAACCAAUUUUAAUCUGUAAGUUGGUUCGACCAAAAAGUAUUUGUAAGUUGGUUUUAAUUUAUAAACCAAAUUAGUAAAUCAAUUUUAUUUUGUA